ensembl:ncRNA Y67D8C.18 ncRNA
CCUACCUGCCUACGCACUUGCCCAGAAGCCUAAGCGGUUGCCAUCCUGCCUAACUUUGAAGGUAGGCACGAGGCAGGUAGGUAGGUCCCUCUCAAAUGUUUAACCCGAUUCCCACACUGGCCCCCCUCAUCAACAAAGUCAAUGGUAUUAGCAUAAUCGUAUUACUGUGUCCUUGGAGGUUAGCCAUUUUUGGCUG